rnacentral:rRNA from 1 species
UACGUUCGUUGGGUAGGGGAGCGUUCUGUAAGCCUGUGAAGGUGGCCUGUGAGGGUUGCUGGAGGUAUCAGAAGUGCGAAUGCUGACAUAAGUAACGAUAAAGCGGGUGAAAAGCCCGCUCGCCGGAAGACCAAGGGUUCCUGUCCAACGUUAAUCGGGGCAGGGUGAGUCGACCCCUAAGGCGAGGCCGAAAGGCGUAGUCGAUGGGAAACGGGUUAAUAUUCCCGUACUUGGUGUUACUGCGAAGGGGGGACGGAGAAGGCUAUGUUGGCCGGGCGACGGUUGUCCCGGUUUAAGCGUGUAGGUGUGUGUUCCAGGUAAAUCCGGUUCACUUUAACACUGAGGCGUGAUGACGAGGCACUACGGUGCUGAAGCAACAAAUGCCCUGCUUCCAGGAAAAGCCUCUAAGCAUCAGGUAACAUCAAAUCGUACCCCAAACCGACACAGGUGGUCAGGUAGAGAAUACCAAGGCGCUUGAGAGAACUCGGGUGAAGGAACUAGGCAAAAUGGUGCCGUAACUUCGGGAGAAGGCACGCUGACACGUAGGUGAAGUGAUUUACUCAUGGAGCUGAAGUCAGUCGAAGAUACCAGCUGGCUGCAACUGUUUAUUAAAAACACAGCACUGUGCAAACACGAAAGUGGACGUAUACGGUGUGACGCCUGCCCGGUGCCGGAAGGUUAAUUGAUGGGGUCAGCGCAAGCGAAGCUCCUGAUCGAAGCCCCGGUAAACGGCGGCCGUAACUAUAACGGUCCUAAGGUAGCGAAAUUCCUUGUCGGGUAAGUUCCGACCUGCACGAAUGGCGUAAUGAUGGCCAGGCUGUCUCCACCCGAGACUCAGUGAAAUUGAACUCGCUGUGAAGAUGCAGUGUACCCGCGGCAAGACGGAAAGACCCCGUGAACCUUUACUAUAGCUUGACACUGAACAUUGAGCCUUGAUGUGUAGGAUAGGUGGGAGGCUUUGAAGUGUGGACGCCAGUCUGCAUGGAGCCGGCCUUGAAAUACCACCCUUUAAUGUUUGAUGUUCUAACGUGGACCCGUUACCCGGGUUGCGGACAGUGUCUGGUGGGUAGUUUGACUGGGGCGGUCUCCUCCUAAAGAGUAACGGAGGAGCACGAAGGUUGGCUAAUCCUGGUCGGACAUCAGGAGGUUAGUGCAAUGGCAUAAGCCAGCUUGACUGCGAGCGUGACGGCGCGAGCAGGUGCGAAAGCAGGUCAUAGUGAUCCGGUGGUUCUGAAUGGAAGGGCCAUCGCUCAACGGAUAAAAGGUACUCCGGGGAUAACAGGCUGAUACCGCCCAAGAGUUCAUAUCGACGGCGGUGUUUGGCACCUCGAUGUCGGCUCAUCACAUCCUGGGGCUGAAGUAGGUCCCAAGGGUAUGGCUGUUCGCCAUUUAAAGUGGUACGCGAGCUGGGUUUAGAACGUCGUGAGACAGUUCGGUCCCUAUCUGCCGUGGGCGCUGGAGAACUGAGGGGGGCUGCUCCUAGUACGAGAGGACCGGAGUGGACGCAUCACUGGUGUUCGGGUUGUCAUGCCAAUGGCACUGCCCGGUAGCUAAAUGCGGAAGAGAUAAGUGCUGAAAGCAUCUAAGCACGAAACUUGCCCCGA